rnacentral:rRNA from 1 species
GACGAACCGUGCGAACGUUAUUCGGAAUCACUGGGCUUAAAGCGCGUGUAGGCGGACGGGGACGUCGGUCGCUGAAAUCCCCCGGCUCAACCGGGGAACGGGCGCCGAAACGCCCCGUCUCGAGGGACGUAGGGGGACCUGGAACCUCCGGUGGAGCGGUGAAAUGCGUUGAGAUCGGAAGGAACGCCCGUGGCGAAAGCGGGGUCCUGGACGUCUACUGACGCUGAGACGCGAAAGCUAGGGGAGCGAACGGG